ensembl:lncRNA
GGGAGUGUGAGGUAAUACAGUAGGGGGAGUGUGAGGUAAUACAGUAGGGGGAGUGUGAGGUAAUACAGUAGGGGGAGUGCUGAGGUAAUACAGUAGGGGGAGUGCUGCUCAGCGUGAGGUAAUACAGUAGGGGAGUGCUGCUCAGCGUGAGGUAAUACAGUAGGGGGAGUGUGAGGUAAUACAGUAGGGGGAGUGUGAGGUAAUACAGUAGGGGAGUGCUGCUCAGUGUGAGGUAAUACAGUAGGGGGUGUGUGAGGUAAUACAGUAGGGGAGUGCUGCUCAGUGUGAGGUAAUACAGUAGGGGAGUGUGAAGUAAUACAGUAGGGGGAGUGUGAGGUAAUGCAGUAUGGGGACUGCGAGGUAAUACAGUAGGGGGAGUGUGAGGUAAUACAGUAGGGGGAGUGUGAGAGCUUCUCAAAUGUACCGUUUUAUGCAUUGACCCACACUCUAGUCCUCACAAGAACAUCCUGGGAGAAUGUACUCUGAAUGGAGCGGAGUAGUAUGGGAUUGUCCUCUGAGAAUGAGAGCGUGGUGCACGGUAGUUUUGCAUAUAGCCUGGCUGCCAAUCCUCAUCGCUCCGG